rnacentral:rRNA from 1 species
UACGGAGGAUGCAAGCGUUAUCCGGAUUUAUUAGGUUUAAAGGGUGCGUAAGGCUGAAUAGUCAGUCAGUGGUGAAAUCCUGCAGCUUAACUGUAGAACUGCCAUUGAUACUGCUAUUCUUGAGUACAGUUGAGGUAGGCGGAAUGUGUAGUGUAGCGGUGAAAUGCUUAGAUAUUACACAGAACACCGAUUGCGAAGGCAGCUUACUAAACUGUUACUGACGCUGAGGCACGAAAGCGUGGGGAGCGAACAGGAUUAGAUACCCUUGUA